GGAAGAUCUGGCGAGAGCGAGACGCUAUAUAUAUUAACGUGAGCCUCGGCCGCAGAAUAAACCAGCCCGCAGCCUGGAGCGAGACCCGGCGGCGGCGGAAGCGCGGGGGUUUCGGUGGGAUGCGCGCUGACCAGCACGUGCGUCUGGAAAACUGGGGCGCUGCCCGCCGGCGUGCGCGCUGAGAUCGCAUCGAGCAGGUGCCACCCCCCACCGCCCAGCUCCCGGCUGUUUCAGGUUCACCAAGGGACCCGCGGCGCACCCCGGACCCUUCCCCCACCCCGGCUGGAAGUGGGGCGAGUCCUCGGUAGAGAGUCGCCUGCCCUCCUGCUCGCGGCUCUGAGGACAGGGUGGCCCCCAAAGCCUCUCGAGCGCCCUGAACGCUGACGUCAGCUCUCCUGCUCCCGGCCGGCCAUCAGUGGUGUGAGGACGCAGGUCGCUUUGGGGACGCCCCGGGGGCUGUGAGGAGAUGGCCUUCCCUCCUGUCCAGGGCUUCUGGAGGGUUCCUUCCCCUCCCGACUCUCCAGUCCCGAGUGGAGCGGAGGCGCUGAAGACCCUCCCGUCCCAGAGCCGUGCUUUCUGGACUGCUGCCGCUAAGUGGUUUCAGUCGUGUCUAACUCCUUGUGACCUCAGACUGUAGCCUCCCAGGCUCCUCUGUCCAUGGAACACUCCAAUCAAGAAUACAGGAGUGAAUUGCCUUUCCCGUCUCCAGGGGAUCUUCCCCACCCGGGGAUCGAACUCGCGUCUUUAGAGUCUCCGAUACUGGGAAGCGGGUUCUUUACCACUAGCGCCACCUGGGGAGCUUUCUGGACGGAAGGUUGCAGUGCCCUGGAGGGGCCCGCAACUGGGUCCAAAAGCCACUUGGCCAUCAGGUGUGGAGUUUCUCGCCUUGACCUUUUUUGAACGGCUGGCUGCGGGGGAGGAUUUCCGGAGACUCAGGGAGAUGACUGCCUUAUUCCACUGAACGCUGGAAACACUGAUUAGAAAGAGACAAGGGUGGGCCUUCAGCCUAACUGAUGUAUAAAGCCCACCUGGACCCACGCAGAGUGACUCUCCAGGUGUCAUUUAAAUUCCAUCUCUUCAGUUUAAUAUUUUAAUCCCUGUCACAAUAAUAACUGGCCAAGGCAAGGGAAUGACUCCAUUUGCUGAGAACUGGUUUUGGAAGGAGAGAAGGAGGGGCAGGAGGGAAAUCUGGGAGCCUUGGGGAGGGCCCUCCUGGGAUCCAUUCAGAAUGAGGGCUGCCCUGUUAUUUCUCACACUGAGCAUUUUGCCUGAGGCCUGUCAUGGUUAAUGGGCUGUGCCUGGAUUGUUAGAAUAGGUACUUUUGUCUGUUGAUUUGAGUAAAUAUGCCCCAGCAUUUUGGGCUUCCCCGGUGGAUCAGCAGUAAAAACACCCACCUGCAUUGCAGGCGCUGCAGGUUCAAUCCUUGGGUUGGGAAGAUCCCCUGGAGGAGGGCAUGGCAACCCACUCCAGGGUUCUUGCCUGAAGAAUCCCAUGAACAGAGGAUCCUGUUGGGCUAGUCCGUGGGCUCGCCCCAUCACUCAUUAAUAAAAUUCAUUUGCUCUCUGA